GAAGGAUGUAGGCGCAGCAAUUCACAGGGGUGUCAGCAUCCCCAUCAACCUGGACCUUCCUCAUGAUCAGAAUCCCAUUCCCUCCGCUUGAAUAUUCCACAUACCCAACUCAUUCGAUGCAGAGAAUUAAAAAGAAAAUAGAUUUCUACAAAUGGCCGCAGGGAAGAUGACAGAGUCCUCUACCAUCACCGCUCCAUCACUCUCCUCAGAAUAAUGAAUGAGUGUUUGGGGUAUUUCAUCGGCUCCAGCCAUUUCCCGGUUUCCCAUGGAUCAGCAGUGACAGGAACCCCAGGUAAGGAUGACGGAAGGAAGAUGAGAAGACUUAAUUUUGAAAAGCUCUUGAAUACCUCAUCCCUUUCUUCAGAAUCUUCUAAAGACUGGGAACCUGGACACAUGCCCACUUCUGCCUUAUAACUAAUGGUUGAGAAAAAAAAAAUGAAGAAUUUUGAACAUACUUGGGAUGUGCCUGCUUGGAACCCACUGAAGGAACAACCAUGAGUCAACAGCUGCAGGUGUGCACAGUGGGGGCUGCUGAGGCCUGAUGAGGAGGCCUGUGACGACAGAGCUGAAUCUAGGAUGACACAUUUAUCCUCCCUGGUGGCGUCUUCACCCCACAUUAUCCCCGUGUUUACGGAGAGGGCAGAGGAGAUCUGUCAGUUCAGACCCACCUGGUGGUUCACAGCAACCUGGGGGGAGAACAGAAGGCAGAGAUGUGAGCUAUCAGCUACUGCCCCACAGCCAUGAGUGCCUGCCUGCUGCCAUGCUCCCCACCAUAAUGGUCAUGAACUCUAACCCUCUGAAACUGUAA